rnacentral:rRNA from 1 species
CCAGACUCCUACGGGAGGCAGCAGUGAGGGAUAUUGGUCAAUGGGGGAAACCCUGAACCAGCAACGCCGCGUGAGGGAAGACGGUUUUCGGAUUGUAAACCUCUGUCCUCUGUGAAGAUAAUGACGGUAGCAGAGGAAUAAGCCACGGCUAACUACGUGCCAGCAGCCGCGGUAAUACGUAGGUGGCAAGCGUUAUCCGGAUUUAUUGGGUGUAAAGGGCGUGUAGGCGGGAGCGCAAGUCAGAUGUGAAAACUCAGGGCUCAACCCUGAGCCUGCAUUUGAAACUGUGUUUCUUGAGUGCUGGAGAGGCAAUCGGAAUUCCGUGUGUAGCGGUGAAAUGCGUAGAUAUACGGAGGAACACCAGUGGCGAAGGCGGAUUGCUGGACAGUAACUGACGCUGAGGCGCGAAAGCGUGGGGAGCAAACAGGAUUAGAUACCCCGUAU